rnacentral:rRNA from 1 species
CGCGGCCUAUCAGCUUGUUGGUAAGGUAACGGCUCACCAAGGCAUCGACGGGUAGCUGGUCUGAGAGGACGAUCAGCCACACUGGGACUGAGACACGGCCCAGACUCCUACGGGAGGCAGCAGUAGGGAAUCUUGCGCAAUGGGCGAAAGCCUGACGCAGCAACGCCGCGUGGGGGAUGAAGGCCUUCGGGUUGUAAACCCCUUUCAGCAGGGACGAAAAUGACGGUACCUGCAGAAGAAGGUCCGGCCAACUACGUGCCAGCAGCCGCGGUAAUACGUAGGGACCGAGCGUUGUCCGGAAUUAUUGGGCGUAAAGAGCUCGUAGGCGGUUCGGUAAGUCGGGUGUGAAAACUCAAGGCUCAACCUUGAGACGCCACCCGAUACUGCUGUGACUAGAGUCCGGUAGAGGAGUGUGGAAUUCCUGGUGUAGCGGUGAAAUGCGCAGAUAUCAGGAGGAACACCAGCGGCGAAGGCGGCACUCUGGGCCGGUACUGACGCUGAGGAGCGAAAGCAUGGGGAGCAAACAGGAUUAGAUACCCUGGUAGUCCAUGCCGUAAACGUUGGGCACUAGGUAUGGGGUCUUAUCAACGGAUUCCGUGCCGUAGCUAACGCAUUAAGUGCCCCGCCUGGGGAGUACGG